rnacentral:rRNA from 1 species
UCAAGAUGAUUUAGAAUCAGAAUACAAAGAAGCUAAAGAAAGUUAUGCAAAAAAUAGAUUUGCAUUGGUUACAGUUCUUCUUGCUGUUCUGAUGAAACUUGUCUUGCCUUCUGAGGUUGAAUUGCCUAUUGAAAAAGAUUAAUUCUGAUGAACUAUUUAAUGUUGUCUUCUUUGGAGGGUUUUUGACCCUCCAUUGUUUUGGAAUGUUCUUUGAUUUUUCUGUGCAUUUAGGUGUUUUGACGUUCUUCUUUGAGCUUUGUCUGUGUGAUAGGUGUAUCUGGGUGUGUGAUUGUUUUCUGGUUGUGUUUGGUGUGUUCUAGUGAUAUUUGUGUUCUGGUGUGUUUGUGUGUGUUGUUUAUCCUAGAUAUUUUUUUUGUCUUGUUUUCAGAGAGUGAGCUAAGGCGUGAAAUCAGCCGCCUGGGGACUACGACCGCAAGGUUAAAACCCAAAGGAAUUGACGGGGGCUUACACAAGCGGUGGAGCAUGUGGUUUAAUUCGACACAACGCGCAAAACCUUACCAAUUUUUGACAUAAAUUAGGAGAUAUUUGUUGAGAAUGUUUCUUUUAGUUUACAGGUGCUGCAUGGCUGUCGUCAGUUCGUGGCGUGAGCUGUUGGGUUAAGUCCCAGAACGAACGCAACCCUCAGGGUUUUUGCUUUGAAUCAAAACCCCAACUGCCAGUGAGAUACGGGAGGAAGGAGAGGAUGACGUCAAGUCCGCAUGGCCCUUAUGAAUUGGGCUACACACGUGCUACAAUGGUGAUGCCAAAAAGAUGCAAUUUGGUCACAAGGAGCUAAUCUCUAACCAUCACCCUAGUUCAGAUUGUUCUCUGCAACUCGAGAACAUGAAGUCGGAAUCGCUAGUAAUCGUAGAUCAGCAUGCUACGGUGAAUUUGUAUCUAAGCCUUGUACACACCGCCCGUCACACUACGAAAGUGAACUGCACUCCAAAAAAUUCCCCUUCUAAACAAUUAGAUCAAUCUUACACACCUUCCAAUUGAAUACUCGUGUUUUGAAGACAUUUUCACAGUGUUGUCUAUGAUUAUAGUGAAGUCGUAACAAGGUAGCUGUAGGGGAACCUGUAGCUG